rnacentral:lncRNA from 1 species
UAUACUUGGAUAUUUGGUACAAGUAUUGGUUAUACUUGGAUAUUUGGUACAAGUAUUGGUUAUACUUGGAUAUUUGGUACAAGUAUUGAUUAUACUUGGUUAUUUGGUGCAAGUAUUGGUUCUAUGUCUACAUUGAUGGGUGGUUUAUACCAGGAGAAUUAUAAUUUCAUUCGUUUAAACGGGCAGUGCAUUAGAAUGAAAUUAAUUUCUCCUGGGUGUUUUCAUCAUAUUGUAGCAUAGAGGGCGUAAUGUUUUCCCGCUUCAAAAUUAUUUUCGCGGUAUUUUAUUGCCUAUGUAAUCAUUCAGCACGACAUCGUCAAUCUGAGCAGUCGAAUUUUCUUGGUAAAUUUUAAUUCUGGUUAAAGUUUAUUAAGCUUUUUUUAUUUGGAGAAUUUUUGUUUGAUACUGAUGUUUGAAUUAUAUAUUAUAUGUGUAGAUGUAUAUGUAUGAAUUGUGUUUAUUUCUUAUUAAAUAUAGAGCAUCGGCGUUGUCGUGCGACUAUCCACUUUACAAAGUCUUUGGUAUUUAUUAUAGCCUUUUAUGGCGUGUAUAUUCAGAGUGUAUAUAUACUUGGAUAUUUGGUACAAGUAUUGGUUAUACUUGGAUAUUUGGUACAAGUAUUGGU